AUGUCAUCCAACGCCUCCACCUACUCCAACCCCUUCCCCGUCGACCCUGCCGAGAUCCGCGACAUCAACGUUCAUGCACGCGUCCCCGUGAUCCUUGACACCUCCAACUCCACGUACUUCGCGUGGAAGACGUACUUCACGCUGCUCUUCCGCGAGAACAAUCACGUGGAUGGCACCGUGGACUCCUGCGCCAUGGUGGACGACGCCGAGUGGACCGCAAUCGACGCUACGAUCAUCCGGUGGUUCUUCACCACCAUCUCCAAGGACUUGUUCCACACCGUUGUGAGCGCCGACGACGCCCGCGCCCUGUGGGUCAAGCUGAACGGCCUCUUUACCGACAACAAGCUUCAGCGCCGCGUUUUUUUGCAGCAGGAAUUUUUUGACUGUCACCAGGAUGAACAGUCCAUUGAUGACUACUGCUGUCGCCUGAAGACGUUGGCGGAUGAGCUCCGUGACAUUGGAGCCAAGGUGGACGACGACCUCCUCCUCAACACGCUCACCGCCGGCCUCAACGAGGACUUCGGCAACGCCGCCUCUAACCUCACCUUGAUGCCGGAGCCCUCCUUCCCAAGUUUGUGGCGUACUUGA
rnacentral:rRNA from 1 species